CCGACCUUAGCUCAGUUGGUAGAGCGGAGGACUGUAGUUGGUAUAUCCCAUCAGAUUAAUCCUUAGGUCGCUGGUUCGAAUCCGGCAGGUCGGA
rnacentral:tRNA from 2 species